rnacentral:rRNA from 1 species
CUCACUCAAAAAACAGGAGGAAAAUUAGGGUAUGUCUAAAUAUUAAGUUUAUUUGCAAAAUAAUGAUUUUGUUUAAAAAAUUAGGUCAACCUGCUUUAAUUUUAAUACUAAGGUUAUUCUAAAGGACAUUGUAAAGUAGUAAUUAGUUUUAUUUUAUUUAUAAAUGGUAAGAAAUAGUAAUAGCAUUUAAUUCUAACAAAUAUUUGUGCCAGCAGUUGCGGUUAUACAAAAAGAAUUACUUAAUUAAUGUGGUUUUAGUUAAUUUGUUAAAUUUAUCGUGUAAAUAUGCGUUGAGAGGUGAAAUUUUAACGUUGAAAAUUAAAUUUAUCAGUAAAAAUGAUCUAGGAAAGUUUUAGUUAUAAACCAGGAUUAGAUACCCUGUUAUUGAAACCGUAACUAUAAAAACCGGAUUAGUAUUAGUUAAGUGCUUGAAAAUUAAUUAUCUUGGCGGUAUCCUAACCUAUCAGAGAAACCUGUCCUGUAAUUGAUAAUCCACAAUUUAUUAUACUUUUAAGAUUGCUUGUAUAUCGUUGUUGUAAUGAAAAUUUCAUAAGAAUAUAAUUUUCUCUUAGUAAAAUUAUAACAUAGAUCAAAUCAAGGUGCAGCUUUUAAAAGAAGAGAUGGGUUACCUUAAUGGUUUUAAAUUUGUAAAUUUUAUUUAAUUAGGAUUUGAUAGUAAUUAUAUUUAUUAAAAUAUAAUGAAUUGGGCCCUAGGAUAUGCACAUAUCGCCCGUCGCUUUCAUAAUUUUGUGGAAUAAGUCGUAACAGAGUAGAUUUAUCGGAAGAUGGCUCUAGAAUGAC